rnacentral:rRNA from 1 species
UACAGAGGGUGCGAGCGUUAAUCGGAACUACUGGGCGUAAAGCGUGCGUAGACGGCUAUCUAAGUCGGGUGUGAAAGCCCCGGGCUCAACCUGGGAAUUGCAUUCGAGACUGAAUAGCUAGGGUACGGUAGAGGGAAGCGGAAUUUCCGGUGUAGCGGUGAAAUGCGUAGAUAUCGGAAGGAACAUCAGUGGCGAAAGCGGCUUCCUGGACCAGUACCGACGUUCAGGCACGAAAGCGUGGGGAGCAAACAGG